rnacentral:tRNA from 1 species
GGGGAUAUGGUCUAGCUUGGAAUCCUAACAAAAAUUAGGGUGAGUAAUUAUGAUGAGAGGUUUGGGACCUUUCGACCCCGGUUCAAAUCCGGGUAUCCCCA